rnacentral:rRNA from 1 species
CCUAUCUGGUUGAUCCUGCCAGUAGUCAUAUGCUUGUCUCAAAGAUUAAGCCAUGCAUGUCUGAGUUCGGCCCCCAUUCCGUACGGCCAAACCGCGAAUGGCUCAUUAAAUCAGUCCUGGUUCCUUAGGCGACACGGCCCCCUUUAUCGGGCGGCGUUUCGGAUAACUGUGGCAAAUCCAGAGCUAAUACGUGCAACUCGAGCCCCGACCCGCGGUGGUCGUCUCACGGCGGCUAUUUCGCGGGGAAGGGCGCUUUUAUUAGUGCGAGACCGGCGUCUGCUUCGGUAGGCCCGCGUCAGGCGAACUCUGGAUAACUUGCUCGACCGCUUCGUUCCUUUCGUGAACGGCGGCGCGCCUUUCAAGCGUCUGCCCUAUCAAAUGUCGACGGUAGGUUACGUGCCAACCGUGUUGACGACGGGUAACGGGGAAUCGGGGUUCGGUUCCGGAGAGGGAGCACGAGAAACGGCUACCACAUCCAAGGAAGGCAGCAGGCGCGCAACUUACCCACUCCCGGCUCGGGGAGGUAGUGACGAGAAAUAACGGCGCGGGUCUCGAGUCGGGCCCCGCGGUCGGAAUGAGCGCAGUCCAAAACCCUGACGGCGACGACCCAUCGGAGGGCAAGCCUGGUGCCAGCAGCCGCGGUAAUUCCAGCUCCGAUAGCGUAUAUUAAAGCUGCUGCAGUUAAAAAGCUCGUAGUUGGAUCUCGAGACGGUUACGGGGUUUGUUCUUUCCGAUUUCGGGGCGGCGGUGGGAGGCGGACUGCGGGGGUGUAGAGCGGCUUCGCGGUCGUUUCUCGCUUUCCCUUUUCGUUCUUCUCCUCGUCUCGGUCGGUUCACGAAUCUCCUCGCUUAACCGUCCCUACGAACGCUGGCUCUCUCCCGUCGGUCGCUCUUCGCUGAACGAUCGCGGGUGGCCGGCUUUUUACUUUGAAAAAAUUAGAGUGUUCAAGGCGGGCCCGAUGUGCCCGGAUAGCCGCGCAUGGAAUGAUGGAACAGGAUCGCCGUCCCGUUUAACACUGGCCGGUCUCAGGGGCGGAGGUAAUGAUUGAGAGGGACGGCCGGGGGCAUUCGUAUCGCGGCGGGAGAGGUGAAAUUCGAUGAUCGUCGCGAGACGGCCGAGAGCGAAAGCAUUUGUCAAGAGCGCUUUCUUUAAUCAAGAACGAAAGUCGGAGGCUCGAAGACGAUCAGAUACCGUCGUAGUUCCGACCGUAAACGAUGCCGACCGGCGAUCCGCGGAAGUCUCGUACGGACUGCGCGGGCGGCCCCCGGGAAACCAGAGUCUUUGGGUUCCGGGGGGAGUAUGGUCGCAAAGCUGAAACUUAAAGGAAUUGACGGAAGGGCACCACCAGGAGUGGGGUCUGCGGCUUAAUUUGACUCAACNCGGGAAAACUCACCCGGUCCGGACACCGCUAGGAUUGACAGACCGAGGCUCUUUCUUGAUUCGGUGGGUGGUGGUGCAUGGCCGUUCUUAGUUGGUGGAGCGAUCUGUCUGGUUAAUUCCGAUAACGAACGAGACUCCGGCCUGCUAGUUAGUGCGUCAGCGUCCGGUGUUUAUCGGCUAGGCGAAGUCGUCCUCGGGUCGCGCCUUCACGGGGCGGUUCGUGCUGGCGUUUUCGUCUCCGUCUUCACCCGCUGUCGUGACCCAAUUGACUUCUUAGAGGGACGGGCGGUGGCCAGCCGCACGAGAAGGAGCGAUAACAGGUCUGUGAUGCCCUUAGACGUCCGGGGCCGCACGCGUGCUACACUGGGGGAGUCAACGCGGAUCACCUCCCGGCCCGAACGGCGUCGGGAAAGCCGCUGAGUCUCCCCCGUGCUCGGGAUCGGGGCUUGACCAUUGUGCCCCGUCAACGAGGAAUUCCCCGUAGGCGCUGGUCAUAACCCAGUGCCGAUUACGUCCCUGCCCUUUGUACACACCGCCCGUCGCUACCAUCGGUGGACGGUCUAGCGAGGGCCUCGGACCGGCGAGAAAUUCUUGCCUUCACGGGUUUGAUUUCUUGCCGGGAAGACGCCCGAACUCGGUCGCUCGGAGAUAGUAAAAGUCGUAACAAGGUUUCCGUAGGUGAACCUGCGGAAGGAUCAUUA